UACGGGGGGAGCAAGCGUUGUUCGGAUUUACUGGGCGUAAAGGGCGCGUAGGCGGCGUGACAAGUCACUUGUGAAAUCUCCGGGCUUAACUCGGAACGGUCAAGUGAUACUGUCGUGCUAGAGUACAGAAGGGGCAACUGGAAUUCUCGGUGUAGCAGUGAAAUGCGUAGAUAUCGAGAGGAACACCUGCGGCGAAGGCGGGUUGCUGGGCUGAUACUGACGCUGAGGCGCGAAAGCCAGGGGAGCGAACGGG
rnacentral:rRNA from 1 species